rnacentral:rRNA from 1 species
ACGGAAGGCAGCAGUGGGGAAUAUUGCACAAUGGGGGAAACCCUGAUGCAGCGACGCCGCGUGAGUGAAGAAGUAUUUCGGUAUGUAAAGCUCUAUCAGCAGGAAAGAAAAUGACGGUACCUGACUAAGAAGCCCCGGCUAACUACGUGCCAGCAGCCGCGGUAAUCCGUAGGGGGCAAGCGUUAUCCGGAUUUACUGGGUGUAAAGGGAGCGUAGACGGCUUUGCAAGUCUGAAGUGAAAGCCCGGGGCUCAACCCCGGAACUGCUUUGGAAACUGUAGAGCUAGAGUGCAGGAGAGGUAAGUGGAAUUCCUAGUGUAGCGGUGAAAUGCGUAGAUAUUAGGAGGAACACCAGUGGCGAAGGCGGCUUACUGGACUGUAACUGACGUUGAGGCUCGAAGGCGUGGGGAGCAAACAGGAUUAGAUACCCUGGUA